CGAGCAAUCUGCCCUUCUCAUCGGAAUAAGCGUUGGAAACGACGUCUAAUGCCGAAUACGACCUCCUUUCGCAUGAUCGGAGGUGGAAAGCUCCGGCGGAGAAGGAUGAGCUCGCGGCCUAUCAGCUAGUUGGUGUGGGUAAUGGCCCACCAAGGCGACGACGGGUAGCCGGCCUGGAGGAGGGUGACCCGGCCACACGUGGGACUGAGACACCGGCCCAGACUCCGUACGGGGAGCCAG
rnacentral:rRNA from 1 species